rfam:Triticum aestivum genome assembly, contig: Triticum_aestivum_CS42_TGACv1_scaffold_404543_5BL
AUUGUACUCCCUUCGUUCGGAAUUACUCGUCCAAGAAAUAAAUGUAUCUAGAUGUAUUUUAGUUAUAGAUACAUCCACUUUUGUGACAAGUAAUUCCGAACGGAAGGAGUAGACA